AUGCUGUGCAAGCACAUUGGCGUGAGCACGGCAGCAACCAUUCUGGUGCUCGCCGACCAGCAUGGCUGUGACAAGUUGAAGACGGCGUGCUAUGGUUUCCUCGGCUGUCCCGCGAACCUGAAGGCUGUCGUGCAGACUGAAGGGUUUGAACAUCUGCAGAGGAGCUGCCCCCAUCUUAUGAAGGACAUUAUCCUUAGGAUGCUGCCCUAG
rnacentral:rRNA from 1 species